rnacentral:sRNA from 1 species
ACCGAGCGCGGAGUUCAGGAGUCUCGGACCCGAAGCCGCCACAGGGCGCCCCGCCUCCCGCCCGCCAUGCCCGCGCCCCGCGCCCCGCGCGCUCUGGCGGCCGCCGCGCCCGCGUCCGGGAAGGCCAAGCUGACGCACCCGGGGAAGGCGAUCCUGGCAGGCGGCCUGGCGGGUGGCAUCGAGAUCUGCAUCACUUUCCCCACCGAGUACGUGAAGACGCAGCUGCAGCUGGACGAGCGCUCGCACCCGCCGCGGUACCGGGGCAUCGGGGACUGCGUGCGGCAGACGGUUCGCAGCCAUGGCGUCCUGGGCCUGUACCGCGGCCUUAGCUCCCUGCUCUACGGCUCCAUCCCCAAGGCGGCCGUCAGGUGAGGCCCGGCCGGUGGCUGCUGCGGGAGGGGGGCUCGGCCGCGGCAGCCCCUCUCACCCGCCUCCCGCCUCCAGGUUUGGAAUGUUCGAGUUCCUCAGCAACCACAUGCGGGAUGCCCAGGGACGGCUGGACAGCACGCGUGGGCUGCUGUGCGGCCUGGGCGCUGGCGUGGCCGAGGCCGUGGUGGUCGUGUGCCCCAUGGAGACCAUCAAGGUGAAGUUCAUCCACGACCAGACCUCCCCAAACCCCAAGUACAGAGGAUUCUUCCACGGGGUUAGGGAGAUUGUGCGGGAACAAGGGCUGAAGGGGACGUACCAGGGCCUCACAGCCACUGUCCUGAAGCAGGGCUCGAACCAGGCCAUCCGCUUCUUCGUCAUGACCUCCCUGCGCAACUGGUACCGAGGGGACAACCCCAACAAGCCCAUGAACCCUCUGAUCACUGGGGUCUUCGGAGCUAUUGCAGGCGCAGCCAGUGUCUUUGGAAACACUCCUCUGGAUGUGAUUAAGACCCGGAUGCAGGGCCUGGAGGCGCACAAAUACCGGAACACGUGGGACUGCGGCUUGCAGAUCCUGAGGAAGGAGGGGCUCAAGGCAUUCUACAAGGGCACUGUCCCCCGCCUGGGCCGGGUCUGCCUGGAUGUGGCCAUAGUGUUUGUCAUCUAUGAUGAAGUGGUGAAGCUGCUCAACAAAGUGUGGAAGACGGACUAAGCCUAGAGAGGCCGCAAGGGGACCGCCCCAGGCACCUCCAGAGUGUCCUGCUACCUUUGUCUCACAUGAUUCCAGUGCAGUAGUGCCAAAAGGCCCCUUCCCACGUCCCUCGAGCUCUGUAGCCUGGUCUGUGCAUUGUGGCUGUCAAAUCCAUGUGUCCCCCCUGUGGUCUGUGUGUGACACCACCACUGUGUCCCAGUGUCUGGCCCAGCCAUGGCUGGAUGUGCAUCUGGCCUAUGACCCUGUGCCCACUUGUCCAUGUGCUUACUGUGAACCCUGUGCCUGUGUUUCAUGUUCUGUGUCACGUGACCCUGUGCCCCGCCUCCCGGGGUGCCCGUGUGGCCUGGGUCCUCGGCCCUGUAGCCCUGGCCUGGUCCCAGUCCGGUGCCUUCCACCCUGCCCUGGCCUACCACAGCUGCCUCCGGGCCUCGGCCUGGCUUCACCGCAUUCCAGGGGCUGCAGCCCCCUGCUUCUCCCGCCAUUGGCCUUAACUGGCCCUCGGGCCCUCCCUUCGCCCCGGACAGGGUGGCACCCACCACUCUCAGGACCACCCUGC